rnacentral:rRNA from 1 species
AGUGAACGCUGGCGGUAGGCCUAACACAUGCAAGUCGAACGGCAGCACAGUAAGAGCUUGCUCUUACGGGUGGCGAGUGGCGGACGGGUGAGGAAUACAUCGGAUUCUACUUUUUCGUGGGGGAUAACGUAGGGAAACUUACGCUAAUACCGCAUACGACCUACGGUUGAAAGCAGGGGAUCUUCGGACCUUGCGCGAUUGAAUGAGCCGAUGUCGGAUUAGCUAGUUGGCGGGGCAAAGGCGCACCAAGGCGACGAUCCGUAGCUGGUCUGAGAGGAUGAUCAGCCACACUGGACGUGAGUCAACGACCAGACUCCGACGGGCGGCAGCAGUGGGGAGUAUUGGACGAUGGGCGCAGGCAUUAUCCAGGCCUACCGCGUGGAUGAAGAAGUCCUUCGGGUUGUGAAGCACUUUUUUUGGGAUAGAAAAGCAAUGAGUUAAUACCCCGCUCUUCUGACGGUAACCAAAGAAUAAGCACCGGCUUACUUCCUG